UAGGGAAUUUUCCACAAUGGGCGCAAGCCUGAUGGAGCAACGCCGCGUGCAGGAUGAAGGCUUUCGGGUCGUAAACUGCUUUUCUGAUUGAAGAUUUUGACGGUAGGUCAGGAAUAAGGGUCGGCUAACUACGUGCCAGCAGCCGCGGUCAUACGUAGGACCCAAGCGUUAUCCGGAAUUACUGGGCGUAAAGAGUUGCGUAGGUGGCAGAGUAAGUUAAUAGUGAAAGCGUGUGGCUCAACCAUACAUCCAUUAUUAAAACUGCUCAGCUUGAGCAUGAGAGAGGUAGCUGGAAUUUCUAGUGUAGGAGUGAAAUCCGUAGAUAUUAGAAGGAACACCGAUGGCGUAGGCAGGCUACUGGCUCAUUGCUGACACUCAGGCACGAAAGCGUGGGGAGCGAACGGGAUUAGAUACCCCUGUAGUCC
rnacentral:rRNA from 1 species